rnacentral:tRNA from 2 species
GCCUCCGUGGCGUAAUGGUAACGCGUUGGACUUCUAAUCCAAAGACUGCGGGUUCGAGCCCCGCCGGAGGUG